AGCCUUGCAGUUUACUUUCACUUUGACCAAACUUUGUGGCGCAGAUGAUUUUCUCCAUCUGAAGGAGAGAGCUGCAGAUGGAUGAAGUUCAUGGAAAAACUGAAAACUGUGAAAAGUCCUGAUGAACUUUACAGACGAUAUUGAACCAUGGUGAAAUUACAGGAUAUGGUCUGUAACAGACAUGGACUCAUGGGCCUCCUUCUCAGAGCAGGAGGAGCAGCUGAUAUUUCUACAGAAGAAAUGAUGGAGAUGAUGAUUCAUGUAAAAUAUUUGAAGUUAAGGUUUUAGUCUCUUGGAGAUACAGAAUGUUCACUGAAUAAAAGCUUUGUUACACUUUUGGAUCCAAGCAGAUAAAAACAUUUUUCAAGUUGACCAACUAAAUCACCACAGUAACUGCAACUGUAACUACAUUUUCUCUGUCUGAAGGUAAAUGUCAGCAGUUUUAAUGUUUUAUACGUCAGCACUACCUGUCGUUACCUGUUGUUACCUGAGUUUUCUGAUGUUUGUGUUUUUGUGAGGUUGUCGUGGAAUCAUUGUUAAACCUGAAGUUACCGUGCCAAACCCAA